UUACACUCUAUCAGUCCACAGAAACUUCAUAAACUGUGAGAAAUGGGAUGGGAAAUAUCGAUGGUCCACCGUGGACCACACGAAACCUCGAGAAAACGAGUGCCUAGUCCAUGCCUCACACUUAGACCACGUGAAGGGGCCAUGCGCCGUGCUCGCGCAUGCCCGCUAGGAUGUGCCUGCGGCCUGCCCGCAUGAGCCUGUGCACUGG
rnacentral:lncRNA from 1 species